rnacentral:rRNA from 1 species
GACGAACGCUUUCGGCGUGCUUAACACAUGCAAGUCGAACGGAAAGGCCCUGCUUUUGUGGGGUGCUCGAGUGGCGAACGGGUGAGUAACACGUGAGUAACCUGCCCUUGACUUUGGGAUAACUUCAGGAAACUGGGGCUAAUACCGGAUAGGAGCUCCUGCUGCAUGGUGGGGGUUGGAAAGUUUCGGCGGUUGGGGAUGGACUCGCGGCUUAUCAGCUUGUUGGUGGGGUAGUGGCUUACCAAGGCUUUGACGGGUAGCCGGCCUGAGAGGGUGACCGGCCACAUUGGGACUGAGAUACGGCCCAGACUCCUACGGGAGGCAGCAGUGGGGAAUAUUGCACAAUGGGCGGAAGCCUGAUGCAGCAACGCCGCGUGCGGGAUGACGGCCUUCGGGUUGUAAACCGCCUUCGCCUGUGACGAAGCGUGAGUGACGGUAAUGGGUAAAGAAGCACCGGCUAACUACGUGCCAGCAGCCGCGGUGAUACGUAGGGUGCGAGCGUUGUCCGGAUUUAUUGGGCGUAAAGGGCUCGUAGGUGGUUGAUCGCGUCGGAAGUGUAAUCUUGGGACUUAACCCUGAGCGUGCUUUCGAUACGGGUUGACUUGAGGAAGGUAGGGGAGAAUGGAAUUCCUGGUGGAGCGGUGGAAUGCGCAGAUAUCAGGAGGAACACCAGUGGCGAAGGCGGUUCUCUGGGCCUUUCCUGACGCUGAGGAGCGAAAGCGUGGGGAGCGAACAGGCUUAGAUACCCUGGUAGUCCACGCUGUAAACGGUGGGUACUAGGUGUGGGGUCCAUUCCACGGGUUCCGUGCCGUAGCUAACGCUUUAAGUACCCCGCCUGGGGAGUACGGCCGCAAGGCUAAAACUCAAAGGAAUUGACGGGGCCCCGCACAAGCGGCGGAGCAUGCGGACUAAUUCGAUGCAACGCGUAGAACCUUACCUGGGUUUGACAUGGAUCGGGAGUGCUCAGAGAUGGGUGUGCCUCUUUUGGGGUCGGUUCACAGGUGGUGCAUGCCUGUCGUCAGCUCGUGUCGUGAGAUGUUGGGUUAAGUCCCGCAACGAGCGCAACCCUUGUUCACUGUUGCCAGCACGUUAUGGUGGGGACUCAGUGGAGACCGCCGGGGUCAACUCGGAGGAAGGUGGGGAUGACGUCAAGUCAUCAUGCCCCUUAUGUCCAGGGCUUCACGCAUGCUACAAUGGCUGGUACAGAGAGUGGCGAGCCUGUGAGGGUGAGCGAAUCUCGGAAAGCCGGUCUCAGUUCGGAUUGGGGUCUGCAACUCGACCUCAUGAAGUCGGAGUCGCUAGUAAUCGCAGAUCAGCAACGCUGCGGUGAAUACGUUCCCGGG